AAAUACUUUUAUUCUAUGCUCUUUCACUUCCUCUUUUCAAAUCAACCGGCGGAGGUAAGAAAUUCCAAAUACUUUAGGAGAUAUCGAAUUUUUCAAUUUUCAUCACAAUACCUGUGUAAUGCGGCCACCAUUGUUUCUUGUUUACGAGUAUCUAUUAUGUUUCUUAUUGGACAAUUUUGUCACGUGACAGUUCCGUGAUUGGCCAGUAUUCAAAUGAACCAAUACGUGAUUAUUUAUUUAUUUAUUAAUGUUCCGUCGGAGUUAUCGCGACGUAGGUGAACGACUACAUCAUUUCCUUAUAAUGGCAAAAGAAAUGUACCCACCUCCAACUUAGGUGAUUUUUUAACGUUUCUAAUUUAUAAGUCUUAUUUUUUAUUUGGAUAUUGUUGCGCAAGUAAUAAGUAACAAAAUUUUUUUACGUGAGUUGUUAAUGUUCAUCAUUUGUCCAGGUUUGUUAGGUCAGGUCAGUUACAUUAUAAAUACUUUAAAACUAAAGAACCAUUGAAAUUAAAUCAUAUUAUUUUUAAUGUACGCUUAGUUUGAAAGUAUUCAUAAUGUAACUGACCUGACCUAAUCGACCAUUUUAUUUACUAUGCAUUCACGAACACACUGCAAAAUAACAAAAAUGUCGACGUUCCAAUGGUUGCACAGGUCUUGUAUUGCAAAAUUAAAAAAUUCGAUAUCUCCUAAAGUAUUUGGAAUUUCUUAUCUCCGCCGGUUUUUUUGAAAAGAGGAAGUGAAAGAGCAUAGAAUAAAAGUAUUUUCGGAUUUUUAACAUUUUUUUUCGCAUAUACCGUUACUCUACAUAUUUACCUGAUUUCGUAAUUUCUACCUAGUUUUUAAAAAAUACUAAAAUUUUAUAUCUUACAUUAGAUUACAUAACUUGUGCUUUUAUGCUACCACCACAAUUAAUUAUUUACCCGCAAUAAAAUGGGAAUUCAUGUUUUCCACGUACUAGACGUUCCUGAAUUAACCCUGCAAGGAAGGUUUCUCAAUUUCCACUGUGAAAAAAAAAUAAGUUUACAGCUUAGAUUACAAUAACUAUGUAUUCACGCAAUUGCUGACAUUCACUGUUUAUGUUUACCCUGUGGGAUUUUUUUUGGAGAACUUAAUUUGAUAUAGGUGGUGUUGUAAUAAUCAAAAUUUGUUUAUGCAGUUGUAAGGAAUUUUUAACGCUUCUGUUUCAUUUUGUGGUUUUAUUAAAAUAAGUAUGUAAUUGUAUAACAAAACGUGUUUUGAUACAUUGCAUUUAAAGUACGUAUGUACUAUUUUGAGUGACGUAACGAGUCUAAUGAAAAACCUAAAAUUGUAAUUGAAAGAUUACCAUCGUUCAUUUUCUGUGAGGAAUACGUGCUGUGCAAUGAAGUAGCUGACACAUUGGAUUUCGAAGUCUUUCCCAGGAAUUCUUUGAUUACAGCCAUCGUAUAUUUUGUGUCCGUUAUGGCUGGUGUUUCAUGUUUAUCCCUGAAUCCUGAAGGCUUGAUCCUGUGGUACAUGAUGCUUGCUAUUGUUUUAGUUCAGCGUAUCAGAAGAUCCUGAACAUAAAAGAAAUUGAAAAAUAAGAAUUAUGAUUGUAGGUUUAAAAAAAAAUCCUUUUUUGUUUGACUUACGAUCAUAAUUCUUUAUAAUUUUUUUUUAUGUACCGGAUCUCCUGGCGUACCGAAUUAAAAUAGCGAGCAUCAUAUACGUACCACAGGAUCAUGCCAAAACAGGAUCUUUUGACGUACUAAAUUAAAACAGCAAGCAUUAUGUUCCAUAGGAACAUGACUUCAGGAUCCAGGGAUAAACUUUAUUUUAAUAUAUGAAACAGAAGAAUUAGCAUAUUCUUAAUUCUCCAGAGUAGACUACAGUUGUGCUAAACAAAGUGAUACACAUUGGAAGGAAACAAUGAAUGGUGACAGCAGUGUAAAAACAUAGGUAUUGUAAUGUAAGCUUGAAACUGUUAUUUAUCAUAAAACAAGUAGAAAUUUAGGUAAAUAUUUACUUGGGCGGUAUUUCCGAAAAAAAAUGUUAAAAAUCCGAAAAUACCUUUAUGAUAUGCUCUUCAACUUCCUCUUUUCAUUAAAAGUGGCGGAGGUAAGAAAUUCCAAAUACGUUAGGAGAUAUCGAAUUUUUAAAUUUCAUCAUUAGAGUUGAGCGGUAUUUGCAAAAAAAAAAUGUUAAAAAUCCGAAAAUACCUUUAUGAUAUGCUCUUCAACUUCCUCUUUUCAUUAAAAGCGGCGGAGAUAAGAAAUUCCAAAUACUUUAGGAGAUAUCGAAUUUUUUAAUUUUGCAAUACAAGACCUGUGGAACCAUUCGAGCGGCGCCAUUUUUGUUAUUUUGCCGUGUGUUCGUGAGACGUGAAUACGUGAAUCGUGAAUGCGUGAUUAAUAAAAUGGUUGAUUAGGUCAGGUCAGUUACAUUAUUAAUACUUUCAAACUAAGCCGACAUUAAAAAUUAUUUUGUGAAUUAAUUUUAAUGGCUGUUUAGUUUUAAAAUAUUUAUAAUGUAACUGACCUGACCAAACAAACCCGGACAAAGGGUGAACAGUAAACUAAAAUGGUCGAUUAGGUCAGGUCAGUUACAUUAUAAAUACUUUCAAACUAAGGUGAUAUUAAAAAUAAUGUGAAUUAAUUUUAAUUAUUCCUUAGUUUUAAAUUAUUUAUAAUGUAACUGACCUUACCUAACAAACCCGUAACAAAGGAUGUACAGUAACUGAGGUAAAUUUUUUUGUUACUUAUUACUUGCGCAACAAUAUCAAAAUAACAAAUAAGACUUUAAAAUUAGAAACGUUAAAAACUCACCUAAGUUGGAGGCGGUAAUUAAACACCGUUUUAAACAAUAAUUGAACUAAAUAAUCACGUAUUAGUUAAUUUGAAUUCUGGCCUAUCACGAACAAUCACGUGACAUCAUUAUCCAAUAAAAAAAAAUACUCGUACGUAAACAAGAAACAAUGGUCCACGCACGCCACAGGAAUGCGCUGGUUUUGUGCUGAAAUUUAAAAAUUCGAUAUCUCCUAAAGUAUUUGGAAUUUCUAAUCUCCGCCGCUUUUAAUGAAAAGAGGAAGUUGAAGAGCAUAUAAUAAAGGAUUCGUGGAAGGUGCUUGUAGCAUCUGCAGCGCUGUGCAUGGCGUCUGCAACCGUAGACGUCAACAUGCAGCAACUCCAGUACCUGUCCAACAGCCUCACGCCGGAGGAAUGCCGACGGCUCUACGCGGCACUCGAAGACCCAGAGUUCGACAUAACCUUCAACCUGGACACCACCGGGUGCUGCUGUCAAUGACCGGCGAGCCGAUGGUGGAACCCGAGGACACGGACGAUUGGACGCCGUUCGACAUUCUGCUGUGCGUGCUGGUGCUAGCGCUAUUCUUCGUCCUACUGGUGGUCGCAGGGGCACUGGCGAGAGAUAGCUACGGACGCAAGCACACCGCCCGUGUACCCGCGUGAGGGCGCUAAACCCUACGUCAACCCCUCCGAAAAUAAUAAAAAUACUAUAAAAUAAAAAUUAUCACAAAAGCACUGCACAGCGAAACAUCAUUACACGGCAAACAAAAAAUCUAGCUUCCUUUAAGUUCAGGCUGAAAAAAAUCUUUGUAACAGCUGCUUACCGUGACCAUUUCACCGCUACCCUAUUGCUUGAAUCUGUGUGUGAAUGUGCGAGUGACUGGUUUUAAUUUAGAAGCACCUAUUUUUUUUCUUUCCAGUUUUGAUACUAUUUGCUGUAAUGUUUAAUUACUUUCCUUUUUAUGUAUGUCUAUGCUUAGUUUUUAAUUACUUAAAAUUAGUUACGGUUGAUUCUUUUGCAAUAGUUAAUAUUUGAACAUCAGUGGUUCCCAACCAGUGGUCCACGGACCAUCAGUGGUCCGCGAGAGUUAAAAUAUGGUCCGUGAAAGAUUUCAUACUCUGAAUGAACGCGCGUCGGUGAACAAAAGCGAGCGCGGCGCGCAGGCGACCAGGGGAAGGGCAAGCAACUGACUAAAUUUAUUGCGCAAGCUGGUCAGUCAAUCGUACGUUUUCUUUUGUUUUGCUCAGCAGUGUUGUGUUAGUGAUUCUGUUUAGCUGUUUAGUGGGUCAACAUCUGUAACUCCUCAAUAUUCUUAUGGAUAUUUUGAUAAAAUAUGAACAGGGUAAGUAGGCUACACAUUUUUCUCUGUUAAACUUUUUUAAUAAAAACAUGCAAUUACAAAACAGAAUGUGGACGUUUGUUUGCGUAUGAGUCUUGUGUUUGUGUAUUACAAAUGUUCACAACAGUUGGGUACAGUUAGUUGAAAACCUAAUUAUAUAUAAAAUAAAUCUAUAUGAAAUUAAAAAUUAAGAUAGUAAAAUAACACUGGCCUCCCAAAUUAAAAAGUAGAGCCAGUCACAAAAAUCCUUAAAAAUAUGCUAUCAUAAUAUUGUUGAAUUGUUAUUAUGCUGUUUUAGGUUUCUCAUAAUGAAAUAAAAACACCGUUAACUCUUUUAAUGCCAAAGUCGGAUAAAUCGCCUUUUCUGUGUCGUGCGAAAAAUGGGAGGAUCGAAAAAUCGGCCUGAAUAUUUUUUUCUUUCGACGACGCACGCCAAUCCAUUAAAAAUAAUAUAACUUUUUCUCGAGAAAUUUAAAAAAAAAAUUCAUUAUAUGUUUUUAUUUAAUCUUAAAAAAAUGACAAAGAAUAAUUUAUUCAUAAGAUGUAAAAAAUUUAUACUUUCAUACUUAAAGGUAAAAAGUUACUAAAGGUAAAAAAGUUAUUAAUAUUUAACUACAGAUAUGUAAUUCAUUUAAAAAUGACUUGGCACUUUUAGUAUAACCGUAAUAGAAUUAGACAAUUUGAGGCUGGCACCAAGAGGGUUAAGGGAAAUUUAUGGUACCUACCAAGACCCUUGUUUUUAACGAUUAGACAUUAUUUUUUAAAUUGUGUAGUAAAGAUUUAAGUUUGUAAAAAAAAUUAUAGCGAGGUUAUAAUUUUUUGGAAGCCAGUUUAUAUUUAUUUAUUUAAUGAUUUAUGUUAUGAAUUAUGAAAAAAUUUAGCUAUAUUAUUUUUUAUUCUUUUAGUUGGCAUAAAACAUAAUAUAAGCAUAUCAGUGUAGGUACAUUCUAUUGCAUUUUGGUUUUGUUUUCAGAAAAUGUUGCCUAAGAGAAAAUAUGAUAAUAGUUACAUUAAAUUUGGAUUUACAACGAUAGAAAGUAAUGGAGAAAUAAAACCACAAUAUGUUAUAUGCGCAACUGUUCUCGCAAACGAAGCCUUGAAGCCAGCGAAAUUAAAACGUCACCUAGAAACGAUUCAUCCAAAUUUUUCUGACCAACUACCAGAGUUCUUUCAAGGAAAAUUGGAGAAUUUUAAAAGAAUGAAACUCGGGCCUAGUGGUACAAGAUAUGCAUCAUCUGAAGAAAAAUUAGUAGUAUCGUUUGAGAUAUCGAAAUUAAUAGCACAAUCAAAAAAGCCUCACACAAUAGGAGAAACUCUUGUGAAACCUUGUUUGAUCAAAGCCGUCGAAGAAGUUUUAGGGUUAGAAGCAAAAAAAAAAAAAAAAUACAAGAUAUAAAUUUGUCGAACAACACGGUGAAAUAUAGAAUUGAACUCAUGUCAAAUGAUAUCGAGGAGCAACUUGUUUCGAGAAUUAAAAUGUCACCAUUCUUCGCUUUGCAGUGCGAUGAAUCCACUGACAUUUCUAAUUGUGCUCAUUUACUUUUUUUUUCUUCCGCUUUUUAGACGACGACAACAUAAUCAAAGAAGAACUGUUGUUUUCUCAGGAACUGGAAAGGACAUCAAGAGGUAUCGACGUCGUGAAUAUAACUGUAUAUUUCCCGAAAUAUGGCAUUAUGUGGGAAAAGCUAGUCGGUUUCUGUACGGAUGGUGCUCCUGCGAUGUUAGGAUCACAUUCCGGUCUAGCAACAUUAAUCAAACAGAGGAAUCCGUCAACAUUAACAUCGCAUUGUAUCCUUCAUCGCCAGGCGUUAGCUUUCCAAGACUCUUCCUAAAUGCCUUAAUGAUAGAAUGAAAUUGGCCAUAAAAGUAGAAAAUGUCAUUAAAAGCAGUGCCUUAAAUUCAUGCCUUUUUAAAAAACUGUGCACUGAAAUGGACUCCAACCAUGAGAACCUCCUCUUUCACACAGAGGUUCGUUGGUUGUCGAAAGGCAAUAUGCUGGAAAGAUUAUACGAGCUGAGAGGAGAGAUUGAGUUGUUUCUAGGUGAGAAUAAAAUGGAAGACUUACUAGUACAGUUUUCUGAUUUGACAUACCAGAUGCGUUUGGCAUAUCUUGUGGAUAUUUUUACACACUUAAAUAAGUUUAACUUGCAAAUGCAAGGUUCAGGAAACAGACAAUUAGAAGGCGUUGCAAAUAUUUUUAAUUUUGAAGAUAAACUUCGUGCUUUUAUUUGCAAACUUAAGGUAUGGAUUAUUCAAGUUGGCGAGGGCAAUUAUAGUGUGUUUUCAACAUUGAAGGCACUCCUUGACGUCAAAAAGUAUGUCAUGUUUAGGGAAAGCAUACAAAAAAACAGCAAAUGUCAUUUGCAAAUGUUUGUUGAUGAAUUCAACCGUUACUUCCCAGAAUAUAACAAUACAGAAGCUAAUGUGGACCAAAAACUGAUACGCAACCCUUUGGCACUAACGCUAGAGAAGUUGCAGAAGAAAUCCAAGAAGAACUUAUUGAAUUACAAAAUGACAGGAACUGUAAGAACGCUUUUGAAUCUGAUUCUUUGGAGACGUUUUGGUAUAAGAAAGAAAUUUCUAAUAUUAAAAUUCGAGAAAUUUUUUUGCACUCUCUUAUGCUUUACUCAACAACUUAUUUAUGCUAACAAGGAUUUUCUGCAUUACUGCUCAUUAAAAACAAAUCCAGGAAUCGACUGAAAGUAAGUGAUGAUUUGCGUGUAGCUUUGAGUAAAAAUAUUACCCCAAAAAUUCAAGAUCUUGUACAGAAGAUGCAAGCUCAAAAAUCUCAUUGAUACAAACUGAAUUGUGUACUAAAAAUAUAUGUUUUCAAUCAUAACACUGUUAAUAAUGUUUAUUUUGGUUUUUUUAGAUUGCUUAUGUUAAACGUUUGGAUUAACAUUGAACGAUUAGACUUAAAAUUUAUUUUUAGAUUGAUACAGAUUAUUUUUUGACCUUGUGGUCCCUGCUAAUAAUAAUGAAAUUAAAGUGGUCCCUGAUCAAAAAAAGGUUGGGAACCACUGUUGAACAUUAAGUUAAAAUUUUAAUUUGUUCUUUUAAUAUUUAGUCAACAUCUGCUUAUAUCAUGCUUAAUUUUUAAUAUUCAACUCUUUGAUGUAACUGCAGAAAAGUGGUUAAGUGUAAGAAAAGGCGUACUGUACUGCCUUAACUUCGCCACCAAUAAAGACGAUAAAUAAAUAAAUAAAUAAAAAUAAAUAAAUACAUGAAGUUUUUUAAAUUUAAAAUUCGGCAGAGUGCCGCUAAUCCGGGUCCGCUCAUCCAAACAUCCUGAUGAAGCACGAUUUCCUCAUUUCUGCGGGUGUAAAACGUUGGUCUACGUAUACAGAAGUAUUUAAUCUAAAAUUAUCCGUAAAAAAAUAAUAAUUGAAUCUACGAAAAAAGAAAAAAACUUCAUUUUUUCUAGCUUAAACAGCUACUGAAACUUGUAUUAUGCACACUUUGAGGCAAAUUCCAUUCUAUACAAGUUCCGGUUUCAUCUAGUCCAGAUUAUACAAUGAACUGCAAUAAAGCCGAACACCGAAAAACACUUAAAUAUGCCAUGUACCACUGAAACACCGACGUACAACAAACAAUCAUGAAAUUAAUCAGCAUAUAUAAUCAAAACUCAACUUAAGAUUAUAAAAACUUAACUCGUUUACUAAAUUCAAUUCAAUGAAUUUAAAUUAUUUAGCAUGGAGUUAGUACCAAAAUGUAUGUACUAAAUAGAUUGGUAUUUUUUUUUUUAAUAUUGUAACUGUUAUUAGUGAAUAAUUUUUUACAUUGCACCAUUGUUACAAUUUUCAAAUGCACAUAUACUUGCUGAUUGAUUGUUAUUGUUCCCAGAAGGGGCCUGGGAGUACUCGGAAAAUAUUCAAUAUUCUUGAAUACUAGUUUGAUAUUUGAUAAUAAUGAAUAAUUGGAUAUUGAAUUUGACAUUUCAAUAUUUUUUUGCAAAUGGAUAAAUAAUUGGAUAUUAAUUUGACAUUUCAUUUUUUUAUAAUUUUUUUUUGCUAAUAGAUAAACAAUAGGAUAUUAAUUCAAUAUUUCAAUUUUUUCCCAUUUUUUUGCAUCUAGAUGAGUCUACACCAUGUUGGACACAUUCACAAAAAAAAAAAAAAACACUGUAAAACAAAAUGGAUUUGAGGUUAAGAUGAUUUAUUGAAAAAGUUUGGUUUGUACUGGAUCACUCACUAUUCACCCAUUGUUUCAUAUUUAUUAAUAAUAUUCUAUUUUGAAUAUGUAACCAUAUUAACAAAACAAGUCAAACUUACUGGUUUAAGAAGUUUCUUUUGAAAUUUCCUUCAUUUUAUAAAGCUUUGUAAUAAUUACCUGUAUAUUACUGAACUUUUAAUUUAACUGUAGUUUGGAUACAUUUUUUCUUAAACUCCUUGGAAGAAUGAAAAAAAUUUCAUUGUAUAUUUAAAGUUGAUUAUAAUUUUUUAUUUUUUGAUAUUCAUUAAUAUUGCAAUACUCGAUUCGAUCUGGGAAAAAGAGGGUGCUGGAAAUUACAAAUUAUUAUAUAGUAAAAGUGAAUCAUUGAUAAGUCAAAAUAACACUGUUUCAUGAAGUAUCAUUGAACAAGUAAAUGUUGUAUUUGUUGAAUAUUAUGCUACCUUUAUGAAUAAACAAGAGUUAAUAAAAAAUAAAACCACAAAAUCUUGUCUCUAUACCUAAAAGAUUUUUUUUUGAGUAUUCAGUAUAAUGUACUUUCAUUAUUAAGGCUCCACCUAACAUGUUGAGCCGGUGAUUUUUUUCCUUGGUGACUUUGUUUUUUGUAAAACAAUCACAAUAAUUCUCAUUUAAUGAUUUCCCUAAUAAUAAUAAAAAAAUUAAACCAGAUUUAUUAAUUUUUAUGUAACGGCUGUAAAAAGUUACGUCAGUGUUUUAACUGCAAUCACUUGUAUGGUUUUAUACAUCCACAAACAAUAUUAAAUAAGUAUCCGAUGAGAAAAUUUGUGACCUAACCACAAAUGAAAGAGAGAUAGGGUGAUAAAUCUAUAGGAUAAUCCCUUAAUAGUAUAGACAAGAAAAUAACGGUGCAGAGUUAAAACUUCAUUUGAUGGCCCGAACUCUUUCAUAGGUUGUGUACCAAGACGUUAGUUCUGGCUCACUGUUUUCGAUUUUUCAUAUUAAAGUUGGACAAAAUGCUUUCGUUCCGUGACUUAUUAAUUUAAAUUGUUUGGCAAAUAGAAAUGUUUUCGGCUCCUACUUCGAAGACGUAUACCAGCUUUAGGAAGUAAUUAAGAGAGAGAAACACACUCUCUCUCUCACUCAACUUAUUAUGUCGUGUUAAACCAACAGCCAUUUUUCGUUCGAAUUCAGACACCCUGGGCGUGUGCCUAAACCAAAUCAAUUUAAUGUACAAAUUAUUUGAACAGAAAUCUCAGAGGACAUAUUUUACUGAUUAAUCAUCUCUUUUCUCAUAACAUCACGUAUUACUUAUACUUUCCUGCAAAUCGUGAUUACAUCCAAAGCACAUUCUGAGCAAUGUAGUUUAUAGAUAGUUUCGUCAAGAACUAAAGCUGUCAAAAAGAAAACACGUGGGGUGUAUACACAAAUAAAUCUGUAUUAGAAUCCAAUCGUUUUCACAUUAUCAAGGUGCCACUCAUUAAUGAAGGAAAAAAAGGAAAUUUUUACACUUGCACUAUGCAGGAGCGUGACAAUUUCGAACCAGUUGCCGGGCGGGUGUGGAAAUGCAAGAACUUGCAAGUCUCUUAAACAAUAUUACAUAUAUAUAUAUUAGUACAUCAGUUUUUCACAUGUAUAUAAAAGAAAGUCUUUAGAACGAUCACACACAAUGACGUCUACUUGACUUCUUUCAC